CGUCGCUCGUCAGAGUUUGAUCCUGGCUCAGGAUGAACGCUAGCUACAGGCUUAACACAUGCAAGUCAGGGGCAGCAUGGGCUUAGCUUGCUAAGCCCGAUGGCGACCGGCGGAUGGGUGCGUAACGCGUAUGCAACUUGCCUCUGAGCGUGGCAUAACCCGGAGAAAUUCGGACUAAUACGACAUAAUAUCCAUAUUCUGCAUGGGGUAUGGAUUAAAGAUUUAUCACUCAGAGAUAGGCAUGCGUUCCAUUAGGUAGUUGGUAGGGUAACGGCCUACCAAGCCGACGAUGGAUAGGGGUGCUGAGAGGCUUAUCCCCCACACUGGGACUGAGACACGGCCCAG
rnacentral:rRNA from 1 species